rnacentral:rRNA from 1 species
UGAGUAAAGUAUGGGGAUCUGCCUGAUGAGGGGAUAACACUGAAACGUGGCUAAUACCGCAUAAUCUCGCGAGAGCAAAGUGGGGGGACCUUCGGGCCUCAUGCCAUCGGAUGAACCCAUACGGGAUUAGCUGGAAGGUGAGGUAAUGGCUCACCUUGGCGACGAUCCCUAGCUGGUCUGAGAGGAUGACCAGCCACACUGGGACUGAGACACGGCCCAG